CACCAAUAGGGGCGCGAGCUGGGGCGGAGCUUGACCCAACCGUCUCCCCCUCCCCCCCACCAUCCCGGCCUCGCGCCGAUUCGCCCGGAGUGGCCGAGCUGCGCGGCUACGGCUUCAUUGUCAGUUGAAAGACGCGGUUUCGCGCGCCUGUGCGGUCGGCGAGAAAGGGUACUAGGCGGCUCCGCUAGGUUCAUGGAGCUGAGCUGGGCCGAGGGGCGGGAACUGCGGAGCGGCCUCGGUCAAACUCGUCUUAAAGGACGCGGAAAGCGCCGCACCGACCAGCAGGACGCUCGCGGGCUCUCCGCGGUCGUGACUUUUAACCCGCUUUGCGCGGAGCCCUCACCACGUGACGGCCGCGCAGGCGCAUUAUCCUAGCCCUCGGCGCGUGGGUCGGGCCGAGGGGUUCAGCAGCCCGUGGCGCUCCUCGGCUGGCGCUGCGAGUGAGCCCGCGGCGGCAGUGACACAGCCUACCUUGCUCAUUGCCCUUCACGUCCCGCCUCCGGCUUCUGCGGCCGCGGGAAUCCGAGAAUGUGAGCAAAGACAAGUUUUCCGACACCGAAAACUCGUUGGAACCGGCAAGCGCGCCCCUAGCUCCGGCAGGCAAAAUGCGACCUUCUCUCGCCCUUUUUCGUUUGUACUCCGAAUUGCGAAAGUACUGUAUGUUCACUGGAAAUAUGGGAAAAUGCAGAAAUACAUUAACGGCUGCAUACAUUCCGUCGACCAACCCUUCACUGUACAUACAGUUGGACAGGGAGCAAUAAUGUGGAUCAACAAGAGCAG
rnacentral:lncRNA from 1 species